rnacentral:rRNA from 1 species
AGUGAACGCUGGCGGUAGGCCUAACACAUGCAAGUCGAACGGCAGCACAGUAAGAGCUUGCUCUUACGGGUGGCGAGUGGCGGACGGGUGAGGAAUACAUCGUAAUCUACUUUUUCGUGGGGGAUAACGUAGGGAAACUUACGCUAAUACCGCAUACGACCUACGGGUGAAAGCAGGGGAUCUUCGGACCUUGCGCGAUUGAAUGAGCCGAUGUCGGAUUAGCUAGUUGGCGGGGUAAAGGCCCACCAAGGCGACGAUCCGUAGCUGGUCUGAGAGGAUGAUCAGCCACACUGGAACUGAGACACGGUCCAGACUCCUACGGGAGGCAGCAGUGGGGAAUAUUGGACAAUGGGCGCAAGCCUGAUCCAGCCAUACCGCGUGGGUGAAGAAGGCCUUCGGGUUGUAAAGCCCUUUUGUUGGGAAAGAAAAGCAGCAGGUUAAUACCCCGCUGUUCUGACGGUACCCAAAGAAUAAGCACCGGCUAACUUCGUG